rnacentral:rRNA from 2 species
CGAAUAGGGGCAACCCUUAGUAGAGCGGCGCACGGGUGCGUAACACGUGGAUAAUCUGCCUGGAUGCUCGGGAUAACCAGUCGAAAGAUUGGCUAAUACCGGAUAAGCCCACGGUUUCUUCGGAGACUGAGGGAAAAGGUGGCCUCUGUAUACAAGCUAUCACAACCAGAUGAGUCCGCGGCCCAUCAGCUAGUUGGCGGGGUAAUGGCCCACCAAGGCGACGACGGGUAGCUGGUCUGAGAGGACGAUCAGCCACACUGGAACUGAGACACGGUCCAGACUCCUACGGGAGGCAGCAGUGGGGAAUUUUGCGCAAUGGGCGAAAGCCUGACGCAGCAACGCCGCGUGUGUGAUGAAGGUCUUUGGAUUGUAAAGCACUUUCGACCGGGAAGAAAACCCGUUGGCUAACAUCCAACGGCUUGACGGUACCGGGAGAAGAAGCACCGGCUAACUCUGUGCCAGCAGCCGCGGUAAUACAGAGGGUGCAAGCGUUGUUCGGAAUUAUUGGGCGUAAAGCGCGUGUAGGCGGCGUGACAAGUCGGGUGUGAAAGCCCUCAGCUCAACUGAGGAAGUGCGCCCGAAACUGUCGUGCUUGAGUGCCGGAGAGGGUGGCGGAAUUCCCCAAGUAGAGGUGAAAUUCGUAGAUAUGGGGAGGAACACCGGUGGCGAAGGCGGCCACCUGGACGGCAACUGACGCUGAGACGCGAAAGCGUGGGGA